rnacentral:tRNA from 1 species
CCUGGUAGCUCAGAUGGUAAAGAAUCUGCCUGCAAUGCAGGAGACCGGGGUUCAAUCCCUGGGUCAGGA